AUGUAGCCACUAUGUACACUACAGCUUCUUGGAGCCACAGUCUGUGUAACCCUGAAAGGCUGUGCCAGGAAAGCCAGCCCAAGUUCUGGAAAAUCCUGUCCAGAUGGAAAGGCUUUAGAUGCAGACCCAACAACCAAAGAAAUUCAUGAAGACCAUCUACCAUAAGCACAGAAGGAUCAUGAAAUGUGCCAGACAAGGGGCAGCUCCUGCCAUAUUCCCAGGAAUUCAAACCAACCAAAUUACCUUCAGGGCAUCUCCAACUGCUGAAAAUCUACCUCCCAGGACUCACCAAGCAGUGACUCCAAACCUAUCUGAUAGCAACUGCCCUACUUGCUGAGAGUUAAUUAGGAGUUGUCUUUGUCCUCUUAAUGAGAGGAGAAGGUUGUUCAAUACCAGCAUAUCACUGGUGUCACCUCUUCUAUUAGGAAUACAGAAGUAUUUCCAAUUGGAAAAUGAUGGCACACACCGUGGAGAAGAUGGAGGUGGUACAUCAAAGGUAAAACCAAGCAGUAUCUCCUGAAGAGAGAAAAGAAAAGAAGAGUGGAAAGUGAUUAGAAGUUUUCAUUCCUCUAGGAGAAUUUCCCACAAAUAACCACUGAAUAAACCUAAUAUUUAUAUUAGAACUUUGCCUUGAAUCUGCUAAUUGUUAUCAGUCACAUGCACAGGUAAUGCCAAGUUGUUUAUUUUGUUUCAGUUUGGUUUUUUGUUCAUUCCUGUGAGUUUAUUGGUGUUGGGAACUCCUUGUUCUUGGUCCUUCAUUCUUGAAGAGGACCAUGACAUCAGGAAGGUGAUGCCAUGACUUGCAAGC